GUGCUUGCUUUGGUAGCACCUAUUCUAAAAUUGGAAUGAUACGGAGAAGAUUAGCAUAGCCCCUGAGCAAGGUGACACGCAAAUUUGUAGGAAUGUAGUUAUUACA